UAAUGGAUCAUUGCUUUAAUGUGUCAUUUUGACCUCCCACAAACAUUAUGUGUGACAUCACAUGACAUAGUGCUGAUGUCCCUUGUUUAAUCACAGUGACAUCCUGCACUCUGUUGUCAUACUGCUCAACUGUCAUAAUAGAAACCAAAUAUGGAUCAGAGCUAAUAACAUUAUCACAGCCAUCGUCUGGAAAUCACCGUUGCUGCUCUUUACUUUCAACCAAAACAGUGUGUGUUUGUGUGUGUAUGCACAGGUGCCUGUGUGUGUAUUUUUGAGAGUGUAUGUAGGAGUAGGAGUUAGAAUAUGGCAAGUACUGUACAUCUACAUGUGUAUUUACUAGUCAGUCUGGUAUUGGUGUAAUCUAUCCAGUAAAUACCUGUCUCCUCUCUUCAUGGAUGUGUGUGUGUGUGUGUGUGUGUGCGUGCGUGCGUGCGUGUGUGCCCCUUGUUUAGUGUGUUGGUGAUCGUAUGGAUGGUUGUGCAAAAAGGAUUAAAGGUAUUCAUGCCCUUAACGUAUGUGUGCUUGCUGUGAUGUAUGUGUAUACCGUAUUUCAAGUGUGUGUGUAUGUAUGUGUGUCUGUAACGUGAUGUCAUGUCUUGUUAACUGCCAAAAUAUCCAAUGAAGGAAGUAAACUCCCUCUUGCCUCUCUUUCGUACAUCUCUAGCUUAUGUAAGUUCUAUGUAUGUCAAUAAAAGACUGUAUUG